GCAUGUUUACUGCUUUACACACAAAACUCCUCUGAUGAUCAGUGUGUGUUCAGAGAGUCACUGACACACAAUACAAUCAUGUCUCUUUUACUAAUUGUGGCUACAGUGGGUCUGCUUGCUCAAGUGUCUCAUCAAGAGGUCCAGACUCCUGAAUCUCUGUCUGUUAAAGCAGGUGAAUCUGCUUCUAUCAGCUGCACUACAUCUUCUGGAAUGGGUUAUGACGUGAGCUGGUAUCUGCAGAAACCUGGAAAAGCUCCUAAACUCCUGAUCUACACAACAAGUUACCUUGCAUCUGGAGUUUCAAAUCGGUUCAGUGGAACUUAUUCUGGAUAUGUAUUUACACUGAACAUACGUGGAGUCCAGCUUGAGGAUAUAGGAGAUUAUUACUGUAUGGGGUAUUAUGCUUCUAGUAGAGUGUUCACACAGUGAAACAGCAUCGUACAAAAACCUCCCUCAGUCAGACGACACAGUGAAUGUACUCAUGCAGUAACUAUGAACUCAUUUCCAUUAAACGAGAAAUGAAU